rnacentral:lncRNA from 1 species
UUCUUCUCAGUCUCAGGAUCAAGACUUUGAUUUAACAACGAAAUAUUGUGAUUUCAAUUUCUAGUUUACUUCUUGAUCUAGCCAAAAUAAUUGGCAUCAAUCUGUCAAUAAUAAUUGAAUUUUCUUCUCGAACCUAUCAAGUUCUAACAAAUGUUCGUCUAGCCAGAAUAAUUGGCUAAGAUAUUUCUCAACAUAAUUCGACAAUAAACAUGAAUUAUCUGUACUGUCAAUACUAG